rnacentral:rRNA from 1 species
AGUGAACGCUGGCGGUAGGCCUAACACAUGCGAGUCGAACGGCAGCACAGUAAGAGCUUGCUCUUACGGGUGGCGAGUGGCGGACGGGUGAGGAAUACAUCGGAAUCUACCUUUUUGUGGGGGAUAACGUAGGGAAACUUACGCUAAUACCGCAUACGACCUACGGGUGAAAGCAGGGGAUCUUCGGACCUUGCGCGAUUGAAUGAGCCGAUGUCGGAUUAGCUAGUUGGCGGGGUAAAGGCCCACCAAGGCGACGAUCCGUAGCUGGUCUGAGAGGAUGAUCAGCCACACUGGAACUGAGACACGGUCCAGACUCCUACGGGAGGCAGCAGUGGGGAAUAUUGGACAAUGGGCGCAAGCCUGAUCCAGCCAUACCGCGUGGGUGAAGAAGGCCUUCGGGUUGUAAAGCCCUUUUGUUGGGAAAGAAAAGCAGCAGGUUAAUACCCCGCUGUUCUGACGGUACCCAAAGAAUAAGCACCGGCUAACUUCGUG